GGCUGCCUAAGUGAUACCAUAAACAUUUGCAUGGAAUCAAAAAGAGAGAUAAAUAUUGGCUCAAAAUAUAAAAUUUGGGUCAAUCUUGGUCACUACUUUCAUUGCAGUUGUUGAUCGCCUGAAGCACGGCCUGUUUCACCACUUGAGAAUCUAAGCUAUCAGCAUCCCCUUGGUAUUCUCCUCCAACUGCUUCCAGUUGAAAAUUGUCUUCACAGGAAACCCUAGCAUCAAUCACUUCAAGGCCUAGUUCUUCGAAGGCUUCCAAUAUGGAAACAAGCAAACCUGGGCAAUUCUUUUCUGACAGCACAUUAAUAAGGAAACCCUUUUCUAGGGUUUCCACUGUAACCUGCAUAGGUAACUGAUUUUGGGAAGUCUCAGCUAGUUGUGAAGUUCCUAUCUCUUGGUUCAGCCUUUCCACUUUUUCCUUCAACUCUUCUAUAUAUUUAGAGGCAUCUACAACAAUUGAGGUUUUAUUCAUAGCAGUAGAGUUGGUGGGAGAAAUUGCAGCGGGUCAUAUAGAGCAGCCUGCUUCUUUUGCUUCCGAGAAGCCAUGUUCGUGACUCUUAUCUUUAGCUAUAUCUCAGCUGCCUUUCC
rnacentral:misc_RNA from 1 species